UUUGGCGAUGUCAGUGCUUUGGAUUUGGGCCAUUCUACCAGGUGAGCUAACCAGACCUGCAUAGAUAGAACAGUAUUGACUGCCGCAAUAUCUUACCAAAGUAUUACCUGCAGAUUUCUGUUUAUUUCUGGGAUUUGCCCUUGGAGAAUUGCAACCAGCCCUCUGAAAUGCCAGUUCUGGAGGCUGGCAAGCCCAAGAUCAGGGUGCCAGCAGAUUCAGCGUCUGUUGAAGACGGUCUUUUUGAUUUGCACAUGGCCUCCUUCUGUAUCCUCACGUGGCGGAGAGAGAUCGUCGUCUUCUGAUCAGAUCUUCUGAUCACACAUUGGAGAUUAGAGCUUCAACAUGUGACUCUGGUGGGCAGGAGGGAUCAACAUUAAUAGCAACAGGCUCCUCCAUACCUCUCCAACUGAAUUGUCCAUCUCUUCCUGAAGAAGACCUACUUCAUAGGCCAGGAAUUUCAAACACAUAUUGCCAUGCUCAUUUCUACUUCUUCUUCUUCUUUUUUUUUUUAAUGUUUAUUCAUUUCUGAACGACAGAG